AUUGAACGCUGGCGGCAGGCUUAACACAUGCAAGUCGAGCGGUAACAUUUCUAGCUUGCUAGAAGAUGACGAGCGGCGGACGGGUGAGUAAUACUUAGGAAUCUACCUAGUAGUGGGGGAUAGCUCGGGGAAACUCGAAUUAAUACCGCAUACGACCUACGGGAGAAAGGGGGCAACUUGUUGCUCUCGCUAUUAGAUGAGCCUAAGUCGGAUUAGCUAGAUGGUGGGGUAAAGGCCUACCAUGGCGACGAUCUGUAGCUGGUCUGAGAGGAUGAUCAGCCACACCGGGACUGAGACACGGCCCGGACUCCUACGGGAGGCAGCAGUGGGGAAUAUUGGGCAAUGGGGGAAACCCUGAUCCAGCCAUGCCGCGUGUGUGAAGAAGGCCUUUUGGUUGUAAAGCACUUUAAGCAGUGAAGAAGACUCUUCGGUUAAUACCCGGAGACGAUGACAUUAGCUGCAGAAUAAGCACCGGCUAACUCUGUGCCAGCAGCCGCGGUAAUACAGAGGGUGCAAGCGUUAAUCGGAAUUACUGGGCGUAAAGCGAGCGUAGGUGGCUUGAUAAGUCAGAUGUGAAAUCCCCGGGCUUAACCUGGGAACUGCAUCUGAUACUGUUAGGCUAGAGUAGGUGAGAGGAAGGUAGAAUUCCAGGUGUAGCGGUGAAAUGCGUAGAGAUCUGGAGGAAUAUCGAUGGCGAAGGCAGCCUUCUGGCAUCAUACUGACACUGAGGCUCGAAAGCGUGGGUAGCAAACAGG
rnacentral:rRNA from 1 species